rnacentral:rRNA from 1 species
CCUACGGGAGGCAGCAGUGAGGAAUAUUGGUCAAUGGCCGGAAGGCUGAACCAGCCAUGCCGCGUGAAGGUCAGUGCCCUAUGGGCGUUAAACUUCUUUUGUGCGGGAGCAAUAAUGGUCACGUGUGGCCAGACGAGAGUACCGUACGAAUAAGCAUCGGCUAACUCCGUGCCAGCAGCCGCGGUAAUACGGGGGAUGCAAGCGUUAUCCGGAUUUAUUGGGUUUAAAGGGUGCGUAGGCUGUGAGGUAAGUCAGCGGGGAAAUGCCCCCGCUCAACGGGGUGAAGUGCCAUUGAUACGGCCUUGCUGGAAUGCGGAUGCCGUGGGAGGAAUGUGUGGUGUAGCGGUGAAAUGCAUAGAUAUCACACAGAACACCGAUUGCGAAGGCAUCUCACGAAUCCGCGAUUGACGCUGAUGCACGAAAGCGUGGGUAUCAAACAGGAUUAGAUACCCUAGUAGUC